CCUACGGGUGGCAGCAGUGAGGAAUAUUGGUCAAUGGACGCAAGUCUGAACCAGCCAUGCCGCGUGCAGGAAGACGGCUCUAUGAGUUGUAAACUGCUUUUGUACGAGAGUAAACGCAGAUACGCGUAUCUGUCUGAAAGUAUAGUACGAAUAAGGUUCGGCUAACUCCGUGCCAGCAGCCGCGGGAAUACGGAGGAUGCAAGCGUUAUCCGGAUUUAUUGGGUUUAAAGGGUGCGUAGGCGGUCGGCUAAGUUAGAGGUGAAAGCCCGAGGAUCAACUACGGAAUUGCCUCUGAUACUGUUCGUCUAGAGAGUAGUUGCGGUAGGCGGAAUGUAUGGGGUAGCGGUGAAAUGCUUAGAGAUCAUACAGAACACCGAUUGCGAAGGCAGCUUACCGGGCUACUUCUGACGUUGAGGCACGAAAGCGUGGGGAGCAAACAGGAUUAGAUACCCUAGUAGUC
rnacentral:rRNA from 1 species